rnacentral:rRNA from 1 species
GACGAACGCUGGCGGCGUGCUUAACACAUGCAAGUCGAACGGAAAGGCCCUGCUUGCAGGGUACUCGAGUGGCGAACGGGUGAGUAACACGUGGGUGAUCUGCCCUGCACUUCGGGAUAAGCCUGGGAAACUGGGUCUAAUACCGGAUAGGAGCCAUUUUUAGUGUGAUGGUUGGAAAGUUUUUUCGGUGUAGGAUGAGCUCGCGGCCUAUCAGCUUGUUGGUGGGGUAAUGGCCUACCAAGGCGGCGACGGGUAGCCGGCCUGAGAGGGUGGACGGCCACAUUGGGACUGAGAUACGGCCCAGACGCCUACGGGAGGCAGCAGUGGGGAAUAUUGCACAAGGGGCGCAAGCCUGAUGCAGCGACGCCGCGUGGGGGAUGACGGCCUUCGGGUUGUAAACUCCUUUCGCUAGGGACGAAGCUUUUUGUGACGGUACCUAGAUAAGAAGCACCGGCUAACUACGUG